rnacentral:rRNA from 1 species
UGGGGAAUCUUGGACAAUGGGCGCAAGCCUGAUCCAGCCAUGCCGCGUGAGUGAAGAAGGCCUUAGGGUUGUAAAGCUCUUUUACCAGGGACGAUAAUGACGGUACCUGGAGAAUAAGACACGGCAAACUUCGUGCCAGCCGCCGCGGUAAUACGAAGGGGGCUAGCGUUGUUCGGAAUUACUGGGCGUAAAGCGCACGUAGGCGGGUCGUUAAGUCAGGGGUGAAAUCCCGGAGCUCAACGCCGGAACUGCCUUGGAUACUGGCGAUCUAGAGAUCGAGAGAGGUGAGUGGAAUGCCGAGUGUAGAGGUGAAAGUCGUAGAUAUUCGGAAGAACACCAGUGGCGAAGGCGGCUCACUGGCUCGAUACUGACGCUGAGGUGCGAAAGCGUGGGGAGCAAACA